CCUCACUUUCACUGUGUGUUCUGUUUCCCAGCCUGCCUGUUUAGUUUGUUCUGUAUUCUCAGUUUAGUUAGUUUUUUGUUCAGUUGCUUUCCAGCAAUAAAGCUGAGUAUUAUGAGUUAUGUAAGCCUCCGUAAGUCCAGCAUUUUGGGACCUCUCUGCCUGUCUGCACACAGCCAUGACGAUUACAAGCUGAGCUCCGUUGGCUGGUGUUGGAGGAAGAAACUUGGGCAGAAAGAGUCCUUCUGUGCAGGAUGGCACUGCAGGAUCAACUGGAAGAAUACAGAGAAGUUAAGGUGAUUCUCACAGGAUGCAAAGAUGAUCCAAGUCAGAGUGAUGGUCUGUCUGGGGAAGUCCUCCAUCACCAGUUGUACUACAUACGACCCUUCAUUACUGCUGUUGGUGGGGCUGAAUGACAGAGUACAAGAGGACUGCAAGAGGACAAAAUGGGCUUGAAGUCAAAAUAACCAAAAUGUUUUCUGUUGCAGAAAAAACAACUUUUUGGACAAACUUUCACUUUUGCAAAAUAAAUUGAUCUGAACUGUAACUCAAUUAAAACCAUUUA
ensembl:lncRNA